rnacentral:rRNA from 1 species
UGCCUUAGGCAUGCAAGUCGAACGGUUUCCGUAAGGAAGCAGUGGCAGACGGGUGAGUAACGCGUAGGAAUCUACCUCUAGGUGGAACAUAGCUCAUCGAAAGAUGGGGUAAUAUUCCAUGGUACCGCAAGGUUAAAGGGCUUAACUGCCCGCCAAGAGAUGAGCCUGCGUCCUAUCAGCUUGUUGGUGGGGUAAUGGCCUACCAAGGCGACGAUCAGUAGCCGGCCUGAGAGGGUGUCCGGCCACACUGGGACUGAGACACGGCCCAGACUCCUACGGGAGGCAGCAGUGGGGAAUAUUGCGCAAUGGACGAAAGUCUGACGCAGCGACGCCGCGUGAGCGACGAAGUCUUUCGGGAUGUAAAGCUC